AGGACGAACGCUGGCGGCGUGCUUAACACAUGCAAGUCGAGCGGAAAGGCCCUUCGGGGUACUCGAGCGGCGAACGGGUGAGUAACACGUGAGUAACCUGCCCUCCACUCUGGGAUAAGCCCGGGAAACUGGGUCUAAUACCGGAUAUGACCUCCUGUCUCAUGGCGGGUGGUGGAAAGUUUUUUCGGUGGGGGAUGGACUCGCGGCCUAUCAGCUUGUUGGUGAGGUAAUGGCUUACCAAGGCGACGAC
rnacentral:rRNA from 1 species